rnacentral:rRNA from 1 species
GAUCAUGGCUCAGGAUGAACGCUAGCUACAGGCUUAACACAUGCAAGUCGAGGGGCAGCGAAGAGGUAGCAAUACCUUUGCCGGCGACCGGCGCACGGGUGAGUAACACGUAUGCAAUCCACCUGUAACAGGGGGAUAACCCGGAGAAAUCCGGACUAAUACCCCAUAAUAUGGGCGCUCCGCAUGGAGAGCCCAUUAAAGAGAGCAAUUUUGGUUACAGACGAGCAUGCGNU